GGAAGUAAAAGUCGUAACAAGGUUUCCGUAGGUGAACCUGCGGAAGGAUCAUUAUCUAUUCCAUGAGGUGCGGUCGCGGCCCUCGGCGGGAGCAACAGCUACCGUCGGGCGGUAGAGGUAACACUUUCACGCGCCGCAUGUCUGAAUCCUUUUUUUACGAGCACCUUUCGUUCUCCUUCGGCGGGGCAACCUGCCGUUGGAACCUAUCAAAACCUUUUUUUUUGCAUCUAGCAUUACCUGUUCUGAUACAAACAAUCGUUACAACUUUCAACAAUGGAUCUCUUGGCUCUGGCAUCGAUGAAGAACGCAGCGAAAUGCGAUAAGUAGUGUGAAUUGCAGAAUUCAGUGAAUCAUCGAAUCUUUGAACGCACAUUGCGCCCCUUGGUAUUCCAUGGGGCAUGCCUGUUCGAGCGUCAUCUACACCCUCAAGCUCUGCUUGGUGUUGGGCGUCUGUCCCGCCUCUGCGCGCGGACUCGCCCCAAAUUCAUUGGCAGCGGUCCUUGCCUCCUCUCGCGCAGCACAUUGCGCUUCUCGAGGUGCGCGGCCCGCGUCCACGAAGCAACAUUACCGUCUUCGACCUCGGAUCAGGUAGGGAUACCCGCUGAACUUAAGCAUAUCAAUAAGCGGAGGA
rnacentral:rRNA from 1 species